AACCCGACUCCGUGAAGCUGGAUUCGCUAGUAAUCGCGCAUCAGCCAUGGCGCGGUGAAUACGUUCCCGGGCCUUGUACACACCGCCCGUCAAGCCAUGGGAGCCGGGAGCGCUUGAAGUGCGUCGCCGCGAGGCGCGCCCUAGAGCGAGACCGGUGACUGGGGCUAAGUCGUAACAAGGUAUC
rnacentral:rRNA from 1 species